AACGUAGGAGACAAACGUUAUCCGGAGUUACUGGGCGUAAAGGGCGUGCAGGCGGUCGACUAAGUCUGGCGUGAAAGCUCUCGGCUAAACCGGGAGAGGUCGUUGGAUACUGGUUGACUAGAGGACGGUAGAGGCGUGUGGAAUUCCGGGUGUAGCGGUGAAAUGCGUAGAUAUCGAGAGGAACACCUGCGGCGAAGGCGGGUUGCUGGGCUGACACUGACGCUGAGGCGCGAAAGCUAGGGGAGCGAACGGG
rnacentral:rRNA from 1 species